rnacentral:rRNA from 1 species
AGAGUUUGAUCCUGGCUCAGGACGAACUUUGGCGGCGCGCCUAACACAUGCAAGUCGAACGGGACUAUGCUGGAAGAAGUUUUCGGAUGGAUUUUGGUAUAGUUUAGUGGCGGACGGGUGAGUAACACGUGAGCAACCUGCCUUCGAGAGGGGAAUAACGGCUGGAAACGGUCGCUAAUACCGCAUAAUAUACAGGAGGGACAUCCCUUUUGUAUCAAAGAUUUAUCGCUCGAAGAUGGGCUCGCGUCCGAUUAGGUAGUUGGUGAGGUAACGGCCCACCAAGCCGACGAUCGGUAGCCGGACUGAGAGGUUGAACGGCCACAUUGGGACUGAGACACGGCCCAGACUCCUACGGGAGGCAGCAGUGGGGGAUAUUGCACAAUGGGGGAAACCCUGAUGCAGCGACGCCGCGUGUGGGAAGACGGUCCUCUGGAUUGUAAACCACUGUCCCCAGGGACGAAGAUGACGGUACCUGGGGAGGAAGCUCCGGCUAACUACGUGCCAGCAGCCGCGGUAAUACGUAGGGAGCAAGCGUUGUCCGGAAUUACUGGGUGUAAAGGGAGCGCAGGCGGUUAGUCAAGUCAGAUGUGAAAUCUCCGGGCUUAACUUGUAGACUGCAUUUGAAACUGGCUUUCUUGAGUGUAGUAGAGGUUGGCGGAAUUCCGAGUGUAGCGGUGAAAUGCGUAGAUAUUCGGAGGAACACCGGUGGCGAAGGCGGCCAACUGGGCUUUAACUGACGCUGAAGGCUCGAAAGUGUGGGGAGCAAACAGGAUUAGAUACCCUGGUAGUCCACACUGUAAGCGAUGAUAACUAGGUGUGGGGGGUCUGACCCCUUCCGUGCCGCAGCUAACGCAAUAAGUUAUCCACCUGGGGAGUACGACCGCAAGGUUGAAACGCAAAGGAAUUGACGGGGACCCGCACAAGCAGUGGAUUAUGUGGUUUAAUUCGAAGCAACGCGAAGAACCUUACCCGGCCUUGACAUCCUCCCGAAUGUAGAGUAAUGUCUGCAGCCUUUCGGGGCGGGAGAGACAGGUGGUGCAUGGUUGUCGUCAGCUCGUGUCGUGAGAUGUUGGGUUAAGUCCCGCAACGAGCGCAACCCCUGCCGUCAGUAGCCAGCAGGUAAAGCUGGGCACUCUGAUGGGACAGCCUGGGAUAACCAGGAGGAAGGCGGGGACGACGUCAAAUCAUCAUGCCCCUUAUGGCCGGGGCUACACACGUGCUACAAUGGCGUAAACAGAGGGAAGCGAGCCAGCGAUGUUAAGCAAAGCCCAAAAAUAACGCCUCAGUUCGGAUUGCAGCCUGCAACUCGGCUGCAUGAAGCCGGAAUCGCUAGUAAUCGCGAAUCAGAAUGUCGCGGUGAAUACGUUCCCGGGUCUUGCACACACCGCCCGUCA